CUCGCAUUCGUCUCUCUCGAAAAUUUGAAUAAGGUUGAUGGAUGCCACAAAUAGAAUAUACUGUUAUAUUUUCGUGGGAGGCAAACUUGUCCAAAAAAAUGAUGGCCUUUGGGAAUAUGUUGGUGGAAGAAGCAAAGGUAUUCACAUUUAUAAAGGAAUGACAUUUGAAGAAUUCACUCACAAGGUGUUAGAAAAAUUCGACAUUUCCCUUCAUGUGAGGAGGAUGCACUACACCCUCAAGUUUAACCCUAGAGUCAUCCAAGAUUUAGAAGAUGAGGAUGACUUGGAUAACGUGGUUUCCCACAGUGAUGACUUUGCAAAUGUGUACAUAGUCGAGUCACCCGGUGUGGAAGCCAUAGAGGCAAAUAUACCGAAUACACAGUUGGCACUUGGAGGUCCACAUCCUACGUUUCCUUCGUCUAAUGCAUCAUGCGAUGCAAGUCCUAAUACUAUGAUGUUAUCAAGAGG